rnacentral:rRNA from 1 species
UAGGGAAUCUUCCGCAAUGGACGCAAGUCUGACGGAGCAACGCCGCGUGAGUGAAGAAGGAUUUCGGGUCGUAAAACUCUGUUGUUAGAGAAGAACAGCGCAUAGAGUAACUGUUAUGCGUGUGACGGUAUCUAACCAGAAAGCCACGGCUAACUACGUGCCAGCAGCCGCGGUAAUACGUAGGUGGCAAGCGUUGUCCGGAUUUAUUGGGCGUAAAGCGAGCGCAGGCGGUCAAUUAAGUCUGAUGUGAAAGCCCCCGGCUCAACCGGGGAGGGUCAUUGGAAACUGGUUGACUUGAGUGCAGAAGAGGAGAGUGGAAUUCCAUGUGUAGCGGUGAAAUGCGUAGAUAUAUGGAGGAACACCAGUGGCGAAGGCGACUCUCUGGUCUGUAACUGACGCUGAGGCUCGAAAGCGUGGGUAGCAAACAGG